rnacentral:rRNA from 1 species
UGUAAGCGAACAAUUAGGGAGCUGCGGACUGCUCAGUAACAGGCGAUUAAUUUAAUCUUUACAAAUGGACAAACUCAGGAAACGGAGUGUAAUACAUAAAAAAUGAUUUUUUAAAUAAAAAGAAAACAUUUUUAGCUUGAAAAAAGCGGUAAAGAAUAAGACGCCAACCCAUCAGUUAGUAAGUAGGGUAAGGGCCUAUUUAGACGAAUACGGGUACGGGGAAUUAGGGUUUGAUUCCGGA